UUUUUUUUUACUUCAUUGUCUUUUUUUGGUCUCCAUUACCUUGGUUAUCCAUAUCUCCAGGGUACUUCAUGGUCCUCUGGCCACGGCAUGCCUCAAGAAACGGUCAGAAGGAAGGAUAAUUGGAAGUAUCAGAAGAAGCAGGAUUUUAAUUUGUGUAGGAAGAAAAAUACAGGAAAAUUAUUUUUAUGAAGCCAUUGGUGAGAGGAACCAGAGUAAUGCCAGUUUGCUUUUGUUUCCAAGGAUCUCGGUAUUUUGUUCCUUGGUGCCAAGUGCAAAGAAAAAAAAAAUCAAAACAUGUUUUGGAUUCUACUGCUCUGCUUCUGUGUGGGAAAGCAGGUUCCUACCAGAAAUUCGUCUCUCCAAUCAACACCCCUUUUGCUAAUUGAGGGCUUUAUACUCAAUAUUAUUUUUUAAAAAAAAAUGAGUUAUGAAUGACCCUCUGUAAGUAUGAGUAUUCACGUUGGGGAGGAAGGAUCUUUUUAGUGAAAAUGAUCAUCAUUUACUAGUUCCUAAUCUCUAUCUGAUAAGAGGCACCUCAACCUUCCAUGUAGAUACAGUUGAUAGAAAAUUACAGGGCAGCAGAAUAGAACGUGUUGCUUUUAUUUUAGGCAAAAGGUAGCGAUGUUUGAGUGCAAAGAGUAAACAGAUACAAUUCAGCACCUGACCCUUUUUUUUUUAAUAAGGAUCUAUGAAAGCUGAAAAUUUUUCAUUUAAGGACGUCUCAAACAACAUCAGUUCGCCCUCACCCCUACCCCAGGAAAUGUUAGGUACAAAGAGGAUAAAGUAGCAAUUCCUUGAAUGACACAUUUGCAUGGUGCACCAGUAACCAGUGGGGAAAAAGUUAGAAUGAAAGAAACAACCUUAGAAAACAGGCCUUUUAUCUCCAAGAUAAAAUGUCCCUCUUGUGGUCUUUCAUCACUUUCUCCUUGGUAGAAAGUUCCCCCAGUUCCCACAUUAUUUCCAUUAAAAUAGUCAAAGCUACUGCAUUGGGAUGUCAAAUGCAUCCCUUUCUUUGUGCUAAUCAGAAUUUAAAAUUAUACAGUUGCCUCUGAAUUUCUCAUUCACAAAGCCAAACCACUGAUAAGAGAGAGAGCGGUGGGAAGCCAGCUGCUCCCAUCAGCACAGCACACCACGCAUCAGCUCUUUCGCAAGCACUGUGAUUUCUAUGGUCCUCAAAAGCUUUCUUUAUAAUCGAGUCCUUGAAAUUUCUUCAGGCAGGUCUGAAUGGCAAAGGGAAAAUAAUUACUUGUGGGAGAUCCUUUUGAGUAUUGUUAGAGCACAAGUGUAAAAGAAAACACCCCUUUUGGUGCACCCUAUGCUCAAACACAUGACUUGGGCUUUCCCCCACUCUCCUUUUGUAGAUACUGAUGGAGCAGGAAAUUAGUAUCUUCCUUUGGGAGUAAAAAGCAAGAUUGUCAUGAGCCCCCAUGCACUAGAAAGUGUGAUACGUAACACAGUGUUAAAGAUGCCUUCAGAGCAUAGGUCAGCAGUCUCCCUCACACCAACAGUGAUGCUAACUACAGUUCCUUUACUUUAGCACAGCAACUGGUAAUAUUGGUACCUCUUUUGUGGUUUGCAAUUGGAAGAAAACAAAGGAAGAAUUGCUAUAAGUAAGAAGUAGUUUUGAGUCCAAAUCUACUUAUCAUGGUAAGAAGGCAGAGUAGUGUUCCAAACACCUCGUUCAGGAUGUAGACAUCCUGGAUAGAAAGUGAGUUGAUUCUGCCUCAUCAUUGAACAUCCUAUAGCUGAGAUCAGCUAAGUAAAAUAUGAUUCUUCUCUCACUGGGAGAAGGGAGAAGAAAACAUCUGUUUGAUCUAAAAUCUACCCUGCAUACUGAGAAUUUUCUAGCAGGCACCAGUCCAGUGUCUUCGCAGCCUACAUCUACAUUGGGGAUUUUUAGCAAAAUCAGAGAUAACUCAGAUUUCAUAAAGUGAGAAACUCUAAACUGGUCUGUUAGCUUACAUGGGAGGGCUACAGCAACAGGUUGUCCAAGAGCAGGAAGGUGACAUUUGUCAACAAGAGAGAUGUCUCUUUAGUUUCCAUAUCCGUCUAAUUCAUAGGAUGCUUAAGUCUUAAGGGUCAUGGAUUCUUUUAAGAAUAGGAGCACAGCUAUGAAACUUCUCUGCAAAAAGAAUCAUAUCCACAAAAAAAAAAUUGCAUAAAAGGAGGUUUCCUUUGAUCCAAAGCCUACCCUAAGACACGGAAAGAGUUUGAUUAUUUUCUCUUAUAAUUGCUUAAUGAAUAUUCACUGAAUAUGUACUACGUGCUAGGCACUAGGCUAAGUGUUUCACAUGUAUUCACUUAUUUCAUCCUCAAAACAAUCCUUUGAAAUGGGUUUCAUUACAGUUUCAAUGUAUAAAUGCAGGGAUGAAGCCAUGGAAAGGUUAAGAAACUUGUCCAAAGCCACUAGUUAGGAAAUGACAGAGCUGGAAUGUAGAUCUAACUUUUGACCACCAUACUAAAAAGUCACCAACAUGACGAACUAUGUUUCAAGCUGUUAGGAAGUAUCUUCUACUAGAGUUUAGAGUAGAUCUUCUUAAACAAAUGAGACUGCAAAACUCUUAUCUCCCUGCUUUCUGUAGCCUCUCAUGAUGAUAACAAUCAAUACUAAAUUAUAGACCCAUGGGGUGAAGACCUGCCUGGAUAAUAGAAUCUAGAACCAAAAAAAAAUGUGUUUGCUCUGGAUGUAUUGCUUGUUAAGCCAGGCACCUUAUCCUUUCAGAUUGUCAGCCUCAUGAUUAGGACAUUUUAGUAGUAAUCUAUGGGUAUAAACAAAGCAGCACUCCUGCACACAUACCUUUUGUUCUCUCUUAUUUUAGGUGAGGUCUUUGAACCAUUUGAUUGUCCUUCUUCUCCACCUUUGUUUUUGGCAAAAGUAAAGGAAACAAUCAAACAGAAUGGCACUCAGGAGAGUGUCACUGUCCCUGUUCCUACAGUAAAACAAGACUACCGAUACAGGGUUUGGUUAGCAUUGGCCACUCAAUAGGGUUGGAGCUGAGCGGGUCAUGUUGGCUCUGCCAGGGCUUGAGUGCCUCAUCUCCUCAGCAGUCACGAAUGGGCUAUAUUCUUCCUCAUGUGCAGAAUUCUUUUCACCAAAGCUUUCAGGCCACAAUUCCCUAUUCGUCCAAGUUGGAAAUGAGAGCCAUUUGCCAAUUUUAUUUUAUUAUUAAAAAAAAAAAAAACAGCACUCUUUAACCAGAGUAGGUCAUACACUGGCGUCCUAGAUUCAGCAAUGAGGCUGGUGGCCUUCCAACCAGGAAAGGAGAAAAUGCGUGCACCUGAAGUUCAUUAGAACUGAAUAGCUUUGCAGCACUUUUAUCUUCUGAGCGAAGACAUUGGGCUUUGAACUGCUAGAGUUAAAAGACAAAGUCCUUUUGAAGAAUUAACUCAGCCAAGGACCAUUAUAGGUUAUGCACCAGUAUGCCUUUAUCAAGGUCCUACUGUCACCCGGCACCCCAGCACCCCACCCCCCCCCGAGCUGAGAGGGCCACAGCCACAGGGCUGGUGAUCCAUCCUGCUGGUAUGUGCUUUCUAUACUGCACAUAUCUGAUAUACUGGGGAGGCUGCAGAUCCACUCACUAUACCCAAAUACACUCAGCCCCUGAGACAGUGUUUACCUGACUCAACCUCCCCAUAAAAACCUUAAAACAAGAUGAGCUAAAAAGGUUUAAGUCCCUAUUUCAGAGUCAGUCUACCAGGGAUUUCCUUUCUAUUGGUGUAGAUGUUCAAAUGGCAAGCCAGGAAUGGAUGACUGUAAGGGUCUCAUGGAACCCACCUGACCAGGGCUAGAAAUCUGGCUUCCUGAAAGAGGGGAGAUUCUAGCAAAGUGAAGGGAACUGUGUGCACACUUGAAUGUGGGUGACACAAAAUUAAGAUAAUUGUUAUCCAGUGUUUUAUGGAUUGAGGUUGAAGUUUUCCAUAUGUAACCCACUUUUCCUGGUCAAGACUUUUCCUUUUGGAGUCCAUGAAGGAGCAGAGGCACCUCUUAAGGAGGUCAUAUUUGAGAAAGAAAAGGCAGAGGCCCUCCAUCAUGAUAUGGCUAGUCGUACUUCGGGAGAAGCCAGAUUCUGGUGCUUUUAAUAGGAAAAAAAUAAAUAAAAGAGGUCAUAGAAGUCCCAUUGGCUUGGGAAUUCUGAAUGUUUUAAAAAAGGAGACCCAUUCCCAUGAAGCAAUGGAGGCCAGCCUCUGUGUUAUUUUUUGGUUUGGUUUUGUUUUUGCUCUGGGUUUGGUUGUGAUGUAAGAAGAGCUUUUUAGUUUUGUUUUGAAUAACAUCAAUCCUUGCACACUCUAUGCAAAAAUUUUGUAAGCAUUGCAAUAAUGCUAUGAAUUACAAGGAACUAUUUUAACUUUAUUACGCUUUCUGUAUAAAAAU
rnacentral:lncRNA from 1 species